UGGCAUGUAUUGUGGAAAAUUCAUUGCGCGUUGGAGACAACUAUAUACGCGCGUUCCACUACCACUUAAACAUAUAGGAUGGUAUCAUGGUAGUACUCACACAGACACAAACUUUUUUUUUAGGUGGGCCACAGAUCAAAUCUGUCGCCUCUCACCCCUCUCUCAGCCAUAUUGCCACCGCUGCUGCUGCUCUGCUUCUUCUUCACAGCCACCGACCGCUGCCGCUGUUCUGCUUCUUCUUCACCGCCCAGCUGUCGCUACUGGUUCUUCUUCUUCACUGCUACGACUUCUUCUUCUUCUUCUUCGCCGCCGCCGCUGCUGGUUCACAAUGACCGUAAUUGACAUAAUCCUGUACUACGGUGGUCUGCUUAGCAAUGCCAAUGCGAACGAGGGAUUGCCAUUUGAAGGACCGGGUAUAAAGUGCUAUUAUACUCAAAUUGAUCAUAGGUUGAAGACUCUUAAUGAUUUAAAGAUGAUAGUUAUGGAAGAAUUGCGUGAGAACCCUGCUUUGCAUAACAUACAAAUUAUUUUUCGUUCUCCACAUGAAGUCUUCAAGGAUCGGAUCAAUUACAAGUAUAUGGAGAUAGAAGCAGACAAACAUGUGAAGAUCAUGUUUGACAAGAUGGAGAGGAUAGCCCAAGUAAGUGCUAUUGAGUUGUACAUAAAGUUAGAGCUGCGUGCAGAAGUUGGCACCGAGGAAAUCCAACAAACAACCACAAGUUUACAAGUCAGAGUUCCAGAUGCUCAGUAUGACUGUGGUGAAACUGAUGCAGACAAUGCUAUUAAUGUCCAGGACAUUAUGAACACAAUCCCUGUCUACACACUUCCUGCCUUGCCAUUCUCUGUAAAUACUAGGGCAAAUAUGGAACGAAGAACAAUUGUACAGAUCCCAUCAAUGGCUUCCCUGAACAAUGAAGGAGCCAGCUUUUCUUCUUCCACUCGCCGACGGGAGUAUGCUGUCUUCUUGAGCUUUAGAGGUGAAGAUACCCGCGAAGGUUUUAUCAGCCACUUAUAUAAGGCUUUGUGCAACAAAGGCAUUAACACCUUCAUCGACGAUAUUGAUCUUCCGAGGGGAGAAGAAAUUUCGGAAAAACUUAUCCAAGCCAUCAAAAAUUCAUCGAUUUUGGUUAUUGUCUUCUCUGAAAACUACGCAGAGUCCAAAUGGUGCUUGGAUGAAUUUGUUGAGAUUGUUAAGUGUAGAGAAAAGGACCAGGAGGUUCAAAUUCGUCCAAUUUUUUACAAUGUUGAUCCAUCAGAAAUUCGAAAUCAAAAUGGAAACUUUGGUAAUGCACUGACUAAUCAUGAAAAGAAGUUCAAGAAUAACAAGGACAAGGACAAGGUGCAGAGGUGGAGGGAUGCUCUUAAAAAAGCAGCUAAUGCAUCUGGAUGGCAUUAUAAGAAAGGCGCUACAUUUAAAUCUGAAUCUCACUUCAUCCAAAACGUUGUUGAAGAGAUAUCAAAUGCUAAAUUAAAUUGGAUGCCGUUAUAUGUUGCUGAAUACCCAGUUGGAAUAAAUUCUCGUGCAAAGGCCAUAGAGUCACUUUUAGAUAUUGGGUUAGAUGAAUUUUGUGUGGUAGGGAUGUAUGGCCUUCCCGGAGUAGGAAAGACUACAAUCGCAAAAGCUGUUUAUAAUAAAAUUGCUAAACAUUUUGAUGGAAGCAGCUUUUUAGAGAAUGUUAGAGAAAAUUUAGGGACAAAUACUGGCAUAAUCAAACUACAAAAGCAACUUCUUAAUGACAUCUUAAGGGAUCGAAAAUGGAAAGUGGGCAACAGUUCUAAAGUAAUCACUUUGAUAGAGGAGACACUUUGUUGUAAAAAGGUUUUUUUAAUUCUUGAUGAUGUCGAUGAUUUGACACCAAUAGAAAAUUUGCUUGGAAAAUGGGAUUGGUUUGCUCCCGGAAGUAGAGUCAUUAUAACAUUAAGAGAUAGACACUUGUUAACUGCCCUUAAACAAAAAGUUUGUACAACUUACAAGGUCAAGGAAUUCAAGGUCAAGCAAUUAGACAAACAUGAUGCUCUUCAACUCUUUAAUGAGCAUGCCUUUCUUGGAAACAAACCUCAUGAUGAAGAUUAUUCUAAACUUGCAACUAAAUUCAUAGAUUUUUCCAAUGGCCUUCCACUAGCUCUAAAAAUAAUAGCUCGUGAUUUGUGUGGAAGAGCUAAAAAAGAAUGGGAAAGUGCAUUAGAUUUGUAUAAUAAAAUUCCCAACAAAGACAUUCAAAACAUACUUAGAGUAAGUUAUGAUGGAUUGGAAGACACCGAGAAAGAUAUUUUUCUCGAUAUUGCAUGUUUCUUCAAAGGAUGGGACAAAGAUUAUGUUGUAAAGAUAUUAAAUGCUUGUAAAUUACAUCCAGGUUCUGGUAUUCCAAGACUUGUUAAUAAGUGUCUCAUAGCUGUUGAUAUAUUGGUAGAUUGUCAAUGCAUAACUUGAUACAACAAAUGGGUAGAGAAGUUGUUCGAGAACAAGUACCAAACAUCCUUAGAAAACGUAGUAGGUUAUAUUGUUACGAGGAUUCACUUGAAGUACUAAAAGGAAAUAAGGGAUCAGAAAAAAUUCGAGGCAUAAUGUUGCAUUCGCCCCAACCAGUAAAAGUGCAACUACACACGGAAGUUUUUAGAAAGAUGGAAAAUCUCAAAUUUCUAAUAGUUGAGAAUGUUCAAAUUUGUGAACCACUUGAAUUUCUUCCCAAUAGUCUAAUAUUUCUUAAGUGGCCCAAUUAUCCUUUUCACUGGCCAUCUGAGUAUUUUCCUGAACAACUUGUUGCUAUUGAGAUGCCACAUAGUCACAUUAGAUUGCCAAAGCUAAUCACGCAGGAGCAUCGGUUAGAAAAUUUGAAAGAUGUCAAUCUUAGUGGUUGUGAAUUUAUUACGGAAUUACCUAAAUUAUGGGCCCCAAAUUUAGAGCGUUUGGAGCUCGUUGGUUGUGAAAAUUUAGUUAAAUUAACUGAAUUAGGGGCCCCAAAUUUAGAGUAUUUGGACCUCUCAUGUUGUGAAAAUUUAGUUGAGAUUGAUGAAUGCUUUGGAUCUCUUGAAAAGCUUACAACAUGGGAUCUCAAUGGUUGUAGAAAACUUCAAAUUCUUCCAAGCCAGCUCAGGUUGAAAUCUCUUUAUUAUUUUUAUCUUUCUGGCUGCUCAAGGCUUGAGAAGCUCCCUAAUUUUCAUCCAGAAAUGGAAUGUUUAAAGACUUUAAAAUUAAAAGGGAGUGGUGUUAGAGAGGUGCCUUCAUCAAUCGAGCAUCUCACUAUGCUUGAGGAAUUAAUCCUUUUAGAGUGCAAAAACCUUGGAGAUCUUCCAGAUAGCAUUUAUAAAUUGCAACAACUUAAGGAAUUGACGACUCCUACUGCCAAAUUGAGACCGACGUGCAAUUUUUUUGACGGCUCUUCCGGAUAUGGGUUUGUGAACAUGACACAAUUGAAUCUCCAUGGAUGUGAAGGCAUAAUUGAAUUAGAUCUUUUGAUGAAGCCUGAUUACUUCCCCGCAUUGGAACUGAUAAAUCUAUCUGAAACCAAUAUUGUUACCAUCCCUGAAAGCAUUAGCAGAUUUCCCAGAUUAAUACAUCUUUAUGCUAGGAAUUGCAAGCUUCUUCGUGAAAUUCAAGGACUUCCACAACGAAUAAGUUGGGUUGAAGUGAAUAAUUCCAUGUUGUUGAAUACCUCACCAAGCGGGCUAUUUAAUCAGGUAAUACGAAUUCUUGGGAUUUUACCAAAUAGAGUAUGUGGUAGGGCAAGAAGCAACAAAUUAAUGGAUCUGCAGUUCUCCAAUAAUUUACCAUCUGAAACUUGGGCUAAUGAAUGGGUUCAAUUGUGGGGAGAGAGCUUUUAUGGUGCUAUUUUUCUUUUGGGAACUGAGAUGCUGAUAUGGUUGAUAACUCCAUAUUUUUCUUUGUUGGUCGCAGUUUUCCAAAAUUGGUUGUCUGUAUUGUUCCUGGACCAAAGCGCUUUCAUGGCUUUGUUGAAAUUUCCAUCAAUGGUUAUGAAAAUCGUGAAUAUCAGUCUAUUGAUCUAAGGGGAGAUUCAGAAUAUCAUUGUAAUCAAUAUUUAUUUUCUCUAACUCAAUGGUCUCUGCUGCAGAGACAUUUGAAUGAAUCAAAUCCAACUGACCAGAAUCUUGUUAAGGUUUCAAUUAGAUAUGAGUCAGAUGACACCUGUUAUUCUAUAAAAAUGUGGGGGGUCGACGUAGAAUGCACCUGUCCUCCUCAAGAAGAUGAUGCUGUUGAUUAUGGGUAUUCUAUAAAAGGUUGAUGAACUCUGAAGAAAUAUGCCUCAAUCAAAAAAUCACAUUGAAACAGUUUCUCCUCGGUCGUUUCUGACCAGUUUCUUUUCACAUUUGAUGCCAAGUUGACUAGGAUGGUUGCGGUUGAAGUCACUGGCAGGCCCCAGAUUUCCUUUUGCCUUGGAUGCGAGCUCUGUCUGAAGGUUAUGAGCUAUAAGCAUCUCAAACUUCAUGGCAUACUGUGAACUGAAGACAAGGGCAGUCUAGCAAAUUUUGUGUGGAACCUUUAAAAAAAAUCCUUUGAUCAGCCCUCUACACUGAGGUAAACUUGAAGCUCCUCCUCUGCACAUUGAUGAAGUCACUUAGACCCAGACUCGGCUUAACCCUGCAUUACAAAUACAAGAUGAGACACAUUGUUUCCUUCAAGUUGGAGGAAAUGACAAACCUUUCAAGUACUCAAAGAAUUGCCUCUUGGCAUGCUUGUCCUCAGGUAAAUAAUAUCCAUAGACAUUUGUCCAUUUAAGAACUUGCCUCAAUUCAACUUUCUGCAUAAACAGCAUAUUUGAUGAGAACAAGGAGGGUUUGUGCUUUACUUGGAAUAGAUUCAGGUAUCGGGGGUGCUACAAGAGAUUCAAACUUCAGUUCUAUUUAGUUAAGCGUAUUGGAUGAGAAUGAACUCAGUAAUUGUAUCAAUAGAGGCCUUGAGCAUCUCUUUCACACUCACACUCUCACUAUCUCUCUCUCUCACUCUCUCAUGAAGCUCCAUAUUUUCUAUUUUACAGGGCUACUUUAGUCAACGCUAUAUUUAUAAUGAUUGUUUUCCUAAAUGUGAAAUUCUGGAGAGGUUUUGCCAUCAAAGUGGUUCUUUAUUGAGAAUCCAGCUCAUUCCAAAUCUUUAUACUAAUUCUGACUGGAUAGGAAUUGUUCUAUUUGCUACAUUCACAGUGCACAAGCAUCCAACUCUCAUUCUUGACAAUUCGGCUACAGAAAUUUCUCAUGGCUUUUCUUGUUCUUUGAGAAGUGACAUGGGCAGCCGGACGGUGUCAAAUAAACAAUACAUCACUGAGUCUGAACACAACAAAUUUAUUUGGUUAAAGCAAUGUAAAUUCAUUUGGAUCAUGCAUGUACCUCAUGCUCGAUUUUCAGAGAAGUUGAAUUGUAGCAAUCUCUUAACUGCUUUAUUUUGUAGUGAUAGCCAAGACUUGAUGGUGCAGAACUGUGGUUACAGUCUUGUGUACCAGCAAAAUGUGGCAGAGUUGGUGCAAACAUUAGUCCAAUGCUCAACCAUGUUUUUUGAUAAUUCCAAUCUCAUCCAUCAAUUUACUGCUCAUCAAUCUAGAACAAAGCAGCAGAGCCAAGAUGAUGAUAAUGUUGAGGGGGAAACCAGUGGAACUGGUGGAUCUAGUGGGACAUUGAGAGGGCUUCAGGAAAAAAUAAAGCAGCAGAGCCAUGAUGAUGAUGAUGAUGAAGAUGAGGGAGAAACCAGUGGAACUGGCGGAUCUAAUGGGACAUUGAGAGUGCCACAUUAUCAGGAAAAAUUUUGUGCAACUUGCUAUCAAAAAUUCAUUGAUGCCGGGGGGCCAACCCAUUAUUGUCAUCGUUGAGAACGCUCUAAGGAAUUUCAUUUACACUAUCCAUGUGAUCGUUGCUUCCCUCCAACUAAGAUUCCAGAGUUAUUCAGCCAUUACACUUUUGGAUCCUCAAUGACAAUCCAGUUACCUUCAAAUUUGCAUAAUGAUUCUAAUGGCUGGGAUUUGCUAUAUGUGUUGCAUUUUCAAUCCAAGAGUAUCCAACUGAGUUUCUUGACAAUCUGGAAACUGAAAUUCCCCACGACCUUAGUUGUCUGUUUGAUAUGGAUAUAGUUGGUUUGAAACCUCUCCAUGUAUAUAGCACCUUUAAAGAAGAACUCAAGUGGUUACAUCUACAUGGAUUCAUUUGGCUAUCCUAUAUACCAUAUUGGUGGCUUUCAGAUAAGAUAAAUCAAUGCAACCACAUAGAGGUCUCAAUUGCAAGCGACUGGCCAGGCUGGAUUGUACGGAAGUGUGGACUUCGUCUUGUGUACCUACAAGAUGAACAAGAGUUUUGGCAAAUUUGAUUCCACUUGAGGGCUUCACUUUAUGACAAUUGGGACAUCAUUCAUGAAGAUUUAGUGUAACACCGACCAUUAAAAUCAUCCUCAAAAGCAUCCUCAAAUCAAACAUUCUCUAUGAAUAAAUGUUUUCCUCAAAGUGAAAUUCCGGAAUGGUUUAGGCAUCAAAGUACAGGCCCUUCUCUGUCUAUCCAGCUACCUUCAAAUUUCAGUAAUGCUAGUACUUGGAUGGGACUAGUUUUAUGUGCUUCAUUUUCAGUCCAUGAGCAUCCAACUAUCACAAGUGAUAAUCUGGAUUCAGACAUAUCCCACACCUUAUUUGUCAUUUGGAUGCUGAGAAAGGUAGCCUAGAAUCUCCCCUUCUCUAUCAAAUCACUGAAGAGAACUUCAUGUGGUUAAAUAUACAGGGAUUCAUUUGGCUAUGCUACAUACCUCGUGGGUCAUUGUCAGAUUUUUUUAAUCAGAGCAGUCAGAUUGAGGUUUCAAUUGGAAGCUACUUCCCAGGUUUGAUGGUGAAUGUGUGGGCAACGUUUCUUAUACCAUCAAGAUGUGGAAGAGUUUGAGCAAACAAUCAUUAAGUGCUCUACUGUGCCUUUUACAAUAUGGAACUCAUCCAUCAAUCAUUAGCUAGUGAUUCUCCGAAUGAUAAGCCAAAGAAUGAAGCUGGUUGUUCUUAUGGGGAUCCAAACCUUGGAAGGUUGAGAAGACCCAUUUACCAGGAGCAAAGCAGUACAGAUAGCAUCUAUCUUGAAGAUCAACAUCCUGAUAAUCAGCUCAGCAAAAGUGAUUUACAGGAAUUUGAUCAAAGUUUGGUGUAUAAUUCUUGUUUUCCUCCAAGUGAAAUUCUUGAGUGGUUCAACCAUCGUAGUGGCAAGCCACCAGUGACAAUCCAUCUACCUCUAAAUUUAUAUGAUGAUAGUACUUGGAGGGGACUCGCUCUAUGUGUUUCUUUCUCAGUCAACAUCAAGGAUCCUACUGCCAUCCUAGACAUUCUUAAUUCAGAAAGUGCUCAUCAUCUUUUUUGUCAUUUGGAAAGCAAUGUUGGUUCGUUGGAACCUCUCCAUGCCUAUUGCCUUACUAAAGAUGUCAUGUUGUUACAUCUAGGUGGAUUCAUGUGGCUGUCCUAUAUACCACAUAGCUCAUUUCUAGAUUGUUUGAAUCAAUGUAAUCACAUUGAGGCUUCAAUUUGGCGAUUGCCCAGACUUGACAGUGGUGAAGUGUGGACUCCGUCUUGUACAUCAGCAUGAUGAGGAAGAGUUUAAGCAAACUACAAGGCAUGGCUUGGCCUCAUUGUUUGACAAUUAGGGUCUCAUCCUUCAUUUGAUGGCUCGCAGUAGAAAAAGAAAUAAGCAAAACCUCUUCAUGCUUAAAGAGAAAGGCAAGCAUGUGCUAGAAUAGCAUCUCCUCUUAUUGUUCUGUUGCUUUUCUUAGCGGUUCUCCCUUCUGUUCUCAAUUACAAGUCUAACUAGACACUCAUAAUCUCUGCUGCAUAGUUAACUCAAUAUUGGUCUCGAGUUUCUUGUUCCUUGGACUAAUGUGAGCACUAUCUUUAGUUUUUGCAUUAAUAGGAGGCAACAAAGGCAUUGCCACUAAUAGUGCGCUGUUAAAAAUAUGCUUUAAUUUUAUUGGAAGGAACGAUUAAAAUGAACUCUUUGUUUGCACAUUUUCUUCGUUUUAAGGGAAUAAAUGCAUGUUCAUGUAGUAA